rnacentral:rRNA from 1 species
UGUCCAAUUUAAAUCGCCCAUAAUGCGUUCGAUCUCAUUGGAUCUCAGAAGCUAAGCAGGUUGGUGCCUGGUUAGUACUUGGAUGGGAGACUGGCUGUGAGGAUUCUCAUCGAGCAA